rnacentral:ncRNA from 13 species
CACGCCUCCUCUUUACCCCUUCAUCCCUGUGUAGUCAUUCGUGUUGUCACUGACCGACCGCCCUUUGCGGUCGGUUUUUUU